rnacentral:rRNA from 1 species
UACGGGGGGAGCAAGCGUUGUUCGGAUUUACUGGGCGUAAAGGGCGCGUAGGCGGUCGUGACAAGUCACUUGUGAAAUCUCCGGGCUUAACUCGGAACGGUCAAGUGAUACUGUCGGACUAGAGUACAGAAGGGGCAACUGGAAUUCUCGGUGUAGCGGUGAAAUGCGUAGAUAUCGAGAGGAACACCUGCGGCGAAGGCGGUGCUGGCUGAUACUGACGCUGAGGCGCGAAGCCAGGGAGCGAACGGG